GCUGCUUAAACCUGACGGAAGCUUGAAUGUGGUCAUUGGAUGGUCGCCGUCGAGGCAUGGGCAUGGCUCAGUGGCAGCUCAGUCGCCACCGAGGUGUCCAACACUUCCGCUUCCAGUCCACAUGCACCGGCUGUUUUUUUCGCCACUGUUCCGGCACCGGCAUGGUUCCAUGGAGUCCGUGUUUGGGACCGCUGAGCUCUCAGGCUGUCUAAAAAGAAGAGACUGCAGAUCCUGCUCUGACGGAUUACUGCUGAGGAGCUCUUGGUCUAUGAUCUGGACUUAGUGCUGGGAGAUCUGCUCCUGAACUGCUUUUUGUCUUUGUGUCUGUUUCUGCCAGUAGGGGGGAAAGAGAAGCCAUUUGUGCAUUAUUUUCUUUUAUUAAUCAAAAUUAUUUUCAAAGGACUUAUCUUUUUAAAAGGCUGCUUGUUCUGUACUGCUAGAUAUCAGUUCUUCAGUUUUGCACAUUUUAUCAUUAUCGCGUGUUCAUCAGUUAAAUUUGUACACAGCUUUGUUCAUUCAAUGUUUUGGUGUAAUUUCCCAUCUGACCUCUGGGUGACAGCACUCAUUCGUUCAUGCUUAGUGCACUUACGGAGAAGCACCAACUUUUUCUUGUGUUACAAAGCACCCACCAAACGCACAUGAAGUUCAUCAUUGUGUUGUCCAUCAUUUCGUAGCCUUCAGAAAGCAUUGGAUUUUCACUACCGUUCUUUAUACAUGUUAACAUGCUCAGGGUAGAAUGCAGAAUUAACACCCAACCAAACUCUGCUUCAAUUGUUCAAUAAAGGAUCUAUAGAACACUCGUCUCCAGGCUCUUGAACAGAGUUUGGAUGGCCGUUAAUUCUGCGUUCUACACUGAGCCCGUUAACACGUAGAAAGAACAGUACACUGUCCCCUGCCAGUCCCUGUCCCGGCUGUACCGGUCCCCGAUGCAGCACACACCUGCUGCACUCAUCAGAGACUCAUACCUGCGCCUCGUCUCAAGUAAUCACGUCCCAUUGAUAUAGAACCACACGUAUGGUCUGGCCUCUGCCAGAUUGUUGCCUCAUGCCUCGUUGCAAGUUCCUGAUUCUGUUCCUGCUCUCUCGACUCCUGCCUACCUAUUGACCUGCCUCUUACGCCUGCCGAUUCCAUUGCUGCUGCUACCGCUUGACUGCCCGUUGGGUUUUUGACAUCGGUCUGAAUAAAGACGCUUCCCAAACUGCC